AAAUUGAAGAGUUUGAUCAUGGCUCAGAUUGAACGCUGGCGGCAGGCCUAACACAUGCAAGUCGAACGGUAACAGGAAGCAGCUUGCUGCUUUGCUGACGAGUGGCGGACGGGUGAGUAAUGUCUGGGAAACUGCCUGAUGGAGGGGGAUAACUACUGGAAACGGUGGCUAAUACCGCAUAACGUCGCAAGACCAAAGAGGGGGACCUUCGGGCCUCUUGCCAUCAGAUGUGCCCAGAUGGGAUUAGCUUGUUGGUGAGGUAACGGCUCACCAAGGCGACGAUCCCUAGCUGGUCUGAGAGGAUGACCAGCCACACUGGAACUGAGACACGGUCCAGACUCCUACGGGAGGCAGCAGUGGGGAAUAUUGCACAAUGGGCGCAAGCCUGAUGCAGCCAUGCCGCGUGUAUGAAGAAGGCCUUCGGGUUGUAAAGUACUUUCAGCGGGGAGGAAGGUGUUGUGGUUAAUAACCGCAGCAAUUGACGUUACCCGCAGAAGAAGCACCGGCUAACUCCGUGCCAGCAGCCGCGGUAAUACGGAGGGUGCAAGCGUUAAUCGGAAUUACUGGGCGUAAAGCGCACGCAGGCGGUCUGUCAAGUCGGAUGUGAAAUCCCCGGGCUCAACCUGGGAACUGCAUUCGAAACUGGCAGGCUUGAGUCUUGUAGAGGGGGGUAGAAUUCCAGGUGUAGCGGUGAAAUGCGUAGAGAUCUGGAGGAAUACCGGUGGCGAAGGCGGCCCCCUGGACAAAGACUGACGCUCAGGUGCGAAAGCGUGGGGAGCAAACAGGAUUAGAUACCCUGGUAGUCCACGCCGUAAACGAUGUCUACUUGGAGGUUGUGCCCUUGAGGCGUGGCUUCCGGAGCUAACGCGUUAAGUAGACCGCCUGGGGAGUACGGCCGCAAGGUUAAAACUCAAAUGAAUUGACGGGGGCCCGCACAAGCGGUGGAGCAUGUGGUUUAAUUCGAUGCAACGCGAAGAACCUUACCUGGUCUUGACAUCCACAGAACUUUCCAGAGAUGGAUUGGUGCCUUCGGGAACUGUGAGACAGGUGCUGCAUGGCUGUCGUCAGCUCGUGUUGUGAAAUGUUGGGUUAAGUCCCGCAACGAGCGCAACCCUUAUCCUUUGUUGCCAGCGGUCCGGCCGGGAACUCAAAGGAGACUGCCAGUGAUAAACUGGAGGAAGGUGGGGAUGACGUCAAGUCAUCAUGGCCCUUACGACCAGGGCUACACACGUGCUACAAUGGCGCAUACAAAGAGAAGCGACCUCGCGAGAGCAAGCGGACCUCAUAAAGUGCGUCGUAGUCCGGAUUGGAGUCUGCAACUCGACUCCAUGAAGUCGGAAUCGCUAGUAAUCGUGGAUCAGAAUGCCACGGUGAAUACGUUCCCGGGCCUUGUACACACCGCCCGUCACACCAUGGGAGUGGGUUGCAAAAGAAGUAGGUAGCUUAACCUUCGGGAGGGCGCUUACCACUUUGUGAUUCAUGACUGGGGUGAAGUCGUAACAAGGUAACCGUAGGGGAACCUGCGGUUGGAUCACCUCCUUACCUU
rnacentral:rRNA from 2 species